rnacentral:lncRNA from 1 species
AUGAUAUAGCUUUCUUUUCUGUUUGGGGAGAUCUCAGCUGACUUCAAGAGAUUUUUUAAAAGUUAAGACUUGGAGAUUCUACAUGAUUGGGAAGUCUGAGAGGUAUAUGGAAAACUCACUUACUUACCUGGAAGUCAGCAGAUACAGAGGGUGAAACCUACUAUCGCCAUUCCCGGAAUUUUUCAGGACAUUAAAAAAGCAUGCCAGGCACAGUGGCAGGCGUCUAUAGUCCCAGCAAAUUGGGAGGAUGAAGUGGGAGGGUCAUUUGAGCCCAGGAGUUUGAGACCAGUCUGGGCAACAUGGUGAGACUCAAUCAAAAAAUAAAAAAAUAAAAAAAAAAGGAAAAGAAAGAAAGAAAAAGAAAAGAAAAGAUACUAACAAAAUAAAACUGUCCACAUAAAAAGAAAACUAACUAUGAAAGACUCUCUUAUUUGCUAAGUGUCCAAAAGAGCUGACUGGUGUGGCUGUGAGUAUUUUAGGAGGUGGGAAAGCUUGAAUUAACUUUGGCAGGCAGAACAGGCUUCCCCAGGACAGGAAUCUGGUGCUGUUCCUGAAAAGAUGGGCAGGACCAGACCUGUUUAUAGGAAGAGUCAGGUAUUUUAUUAAUAGUAGAGAGAAGUGUGGCAGGCGCCAAGGGUAUUGGGGGACAUUGAAAAGAUCAGUCUGGACAUGUCAGUUCAUGAGCAGUGGAGAAUAAUGCCGGAUAAACCACGGAGAUAGGUUGAUUAUAAAGAACCUCGAAUACCAGAUAUAGGACAUUCAAGCCCUGCCAUGUAGGCAGUGGUAAGCUGCUAAAAUUUUAGACCAACUCUGUGAUGUGAUCCGAAAACUAAUGUCAUCGUCAGAUUCACAGAAAAACACGAUAAGGUGCCGACUACUCACUGGCUCCCACGUCAAGGCGCAUAACUUUUAUUCCUGAGGCAAAGCAUUUACUCUGUUCUAGAAGAAAUUUAGGGAGGGGAGUGAAAGGAGAGGUUCUGUUUUGUCUCUUUUUCUGGCAAAUAAACAACCUUCUGAUGGAGGAAGGGACUCAGUGAACUAUUUUUAGCCACCUGCCAGUGGACCCCCGUGAUAGAAGACACGGACGUGUUCUAAUAAAAGAUUCAGAUAUUCUUCUCAGCCAGCUCUGCACGCUGUUUAAGUAAACAUUCUAAAAAUAAUACAAUAAACAUAUACAACCAGGAUAGACAAGCUGUGAAUUGCAAAGUGAUUUAAAGUGCUUUCUGGUUCAUUUUGGAGAUUUCUUUGAAUUUCAGCCAAGAAAAAGUCACCAUCGUAUGUAAGGGAAAGAGGCUUGAGAGAAGUUUGGAGGGAUUUCUUCUUGAGUAUAUUUAUACAAAUUGGAUUAUGACACUCAGAGUCUUCCCUUGCUCAUCAGGAGCUGUUCCCUAAGAAAGAACAGAGCAGGGUGGCCAGGAGCAGCAUGUCACAGGUCCUCCACAUCCACGCCACGCAUCCUUACUCCACCUGAC